rnacentral:rRNA from 1 species
CAAUAGCGUAUAUUAAAGUUGUUGCGGUUAAAAAGCUCGUAGUUGGAUUUCUGUUGAGGAUGGGCGGUCCGCACUUUGUGCUGGUAUUUGUUACAGCCUCGGCAUCCUCUUGAAGAACGGUACUGUGAUUUAUUUCGUGGUCCGGAAUUCAAGACUUUUACUUUGAGGAAAUUAGAGUGUUCACGGCAAGCAAUCGCUUUGAAUACAUUAGCAUGGAAUAAUAAUAUAGGACCUUGGUACUAUUUUGUUGGUUUCUAGAACUAAGGUAAUGAUUAAUAGGGAUAAUUGGGGCGAUUCGUAUUAACGCGUCAGAGGUGGAAUUCUUGGAUUGCGUUACGACGAACUACUGCGAAAGCAUUUGCCAAGGAUGUUUUCAUUGAUCAAGAACGAAAGUAUGGGGAUCGAAGAUGAUUAGAU